rnacentral:rRNA from 1 species
GACGAACGCUGGCGGCGUGCUUAACACAUGCAAGUCGAACGGAAAGGCCCUGCUUUUGUGGGGUGCUCGAGUGGCGAACGGGUGAGUAACACGUGAGUAACCUGCCCUUGACUUUGGGAUAACUUCAGGAAACUGGGGCUAAUACCGGAUAGGAGCUCCUGCUGCAUGGUGGGGGUUGGAAAGUUUCGGCGGUUGGGGAUGGACUCGCGGCUUAUCAGCUUGUUGGUGGGGUAGUGGCUUACCAAGGCUUUGACGGGUAGCCGGCCUGAGAGGGUGACCGGCCACAUUGGGACUGAGAUACGGCCCAGACUCCUACGGGAGGCGGCAGUGGGGAAUAUUGCACAAUGGGCGGAAGCCUGAUGCAGCAACGCCGUGUGCGGGAUGACGGCCUUCGGGUUGUAAACCGCUUUCGCCUGUGACGAAGCGUGAGUGACGGUAAUGGGUAAAGAAGCACCGGCUAACUACGUG